CAGUAGCCACGGGAAUACGGAGGAUCCAAGCGUUAUCCGGAUUUAUUGGGUUUAAAGGGUGCGUAGGUGGCCUGUUAAGUCAGGGGUGAAAGACGGUAGCUUAACUAGCGCAGUGCCCUUGAUACUGAUGGGCUUGAAUGAACUAGAGGUAGGCGGAAUGUGACAAGUAGCGGUGAAAUGCAUAGAUAUGUCACAGAACACCAAUUGCGAAGGCAGCUUACUAUGGUUUUAUUGACACUGAGGCACGAAAGCGUGGGGAUCAAACAGGAUUAGAUACCCCCGUAGUCCCUGUCUCUUAUAC
rnacentral:rRNA from 1 species